UAAAGCUGGAAUAGAAACGCUCACGUGUGAUGCUUGAUGAAGGAGAGAAACACCGCAAUCUGCUCUAAACUGCGUCUUACUGGAUAGCACCGCUUCAAGGAAUUUGAAUUCUACUUUUCUUUUGUGCGGAGGAAGCUUUAACAGAAGGGAUUAUACAGUUUGAAGGAUGUUCUCCAUGAAGGACCGUGGCUUCCUCAGGUGCCUCAAGACCAAGAUGAUGCAGAAUUUAGGACCUCUCUUGAAGUAAAUCCUUUGGUAGAAAAAAGUACUGCAAGUAGGGCAAGGUGAAGAAGGACCAUGAGCAACCUUUGUUGUCCACUUAAAGCCAGAUAGCUGUGAUGACCUUUACUGUUUAAAGGAAUAUAUCUGUGUU